GUUUCUCGAUAUUUAGCACUUUCUGUCUUAAUUUAUGAGAGUCUUCGUUUGUGCCGUGAGUGCCGCCAAUAUUUCCAGAAAAUAUUUUACUCCGUUACGAAUAAAGUAUAUAGUAACACGUAACUUUAUCGACUUCGUGAGAGAUUUUGUUGAAUGAAAUCUUGAUGAAGAUAUUUUUAUCUCUUUUGCAGUGAGUAAAUUUCUUUUUUAUUGGAUAAGAUUUAGAAAUUGAUGUUGUAACUUUCUUGUGAAACUAGAAUAAAAAUGGUUCGUUGGAGAAUAAUGAUCAAUUUAUUUGAUAGAUCUAGCACAGAUAUCUACGGCACGUGAAUUAUAGAUUAUAAUUUUUUUUAUAUGUUAUAAUAGAAAUAGAAAAUUUGUUUUUAUACAAAAGAAAUUAAUCUAUUAAAAAUUAUCUAACUCAACAGCAAUUUAAUAAUAAAUGUUAUUUAUAUAUUUUUGACACUCUACAUAUAUAUAUAUAUAUAAUUAAUAUAUAUAAAUAAUAUAUAUAUAUACAAAGAAUUGAAAGUGAAAUAAUUCAAGAUAAUAUCUUUUUUCAAAAAAAGAUAAAAUUUAUUUAUAAAAUUAAAGAGUUAUUAAGGAAUAAAAAUGAUAGCAACAUACAAUUAUUCAUAAGCGUGAACUAGCAAAAAUUUUUUUUUGCUUAAAUAAUUAAUGCAUUUUACGAAAAAAAAUAAUAAAUAGAAACUUAUAUAAUAUAAUUUUAUAAAAUAUAAAAAUUAUUUAAAAACAAAUAUCAAUUUUUAAUUAUAUUAAAAAUAAUAAAUGAGUAGAGAAUAAAAAAUUUUCUGCGAGAUGAACCACGAUUAAAAUGUAUAUAAUUAAAUGGUAAAGCAGUGGCAAUUAAAAGGAUAACACAGCGAAACCAGUAAUAUCCGUAACAUCAGUAAUUUUCAUAACCGACGGAAGGUAAUCUUUCACUUCGAUAAGUGGGAAAAUGAUAAUUGCCUUCCCAAUCUUUUUUCCGUAAUUACUCACUUAUGUAUAUAUUGCGUAAAGGAGAUCUCAACGAAAGGUUAAUCGAUUGUAACAAGGAGUAUGUAGCAAGGUUAAACAGGAAAUUGUUAAUGCAUUCUUCGUAUCCUGCACGAUCUGUGACUUGGUUCAGUAGUCUAUUGGCGUGAUGUAAUUUAUUUAACGUAACCAGGUUCGUAAAUCUUUUUCGAAAAAUGUUAAAUCAAUUUUACAUUUAUUAUUGUUGCGAUGAUUUUUUAUUGUAGCAAAAAUGUGUUUGCUACAAUGUGUUUGCUAAUGUAAUUGAAUUUGUAAUUUAUAUUCUUAACGUGUGUUAAUAUUUAAAAUUUUAGAUAUUUCAAUUUUUAUUUCUAGUAAUUUUCUGUAAUUUUCUAGUAAUAAAAUUUUUGACAAAAAAAAUAUAUAAUUGAUACAGUUUAAAAAAAGAAAAGAAAUAAAAAAUUCAUAAUAAUAAAUAAAAAUAUCUUACAAGCCUAUUAAUCAGGAAACUAGAGAUCUAGAUACCUCAUGGGAAAGUGCUAAUUUUCAAUGAUCGGUGAAUGGUUGAUCCAACGAAGGAGAAAGCAAAAAAGAGAGGAUCCUUCGCGUAAGCAAAACCAAUUCAAGCCACCUUUAAUUAAAUCAUAAAAUAUUUUUCUUUAAUGACCACUAUAAUUUCUCAAAAUUCUGCGUUUCGCACGAUUAAAUCUGUCUAAUUAUCUUUCAACAAAGAUCGAGAGGUCGUUACCGGUCUCGACCGAGAUCGAUUUAAUUCGAUAACCAAUUGCUGCCAUACUUGAGGCCAUGAAAGCUGACCAACUUCAUGUUGCAACUCUAUCCUCGCAAUUAACGGAAUCGAAAUUAACCGUUCGAUGAAAACACCCAUGGCGAAGAUGCAAGAUUAUGAUAGAGGUUAUGUUUUAUUUUUUCGAAUUUUAAUAACUGUUCGUCAUCGAAUCGAUGAAAGUUGUUUGUUAUAUCGUAAUGUAUGAUUUGUGAUAGGAAGUGUAUUAUGUUCUUUGAGAAAAAAAGAUAUUCGUUCUAAGUUGAUGCGAAAUUGAAAUAAUGAAAUGUGUAAUUUAAUUCUCAUAUAUUGUGUAUUAAAGUUCUUAUAAAUAUACAGUGAAAGAAUAAGUGUUUAGAUCGUAAUGAAGUCUGAAGAUAGAAACAGUAGAUUGAAAUUCUUACUUCCUAUUUUUAUAAGAAGAAGAAAUACAAUUAGAUUGCACGAUUAAAUACAGGAUUAAGAAAUCAAUUAGAAUUCGAAGAAACGCUAUAAAAUAAUUAAAAUAGAACUAUUUAUUGAAACGAAAUUUUCAUCGAUAUAACUAAGUGAAACUACAAAUCGUACAAAUUUUCUAUUUUCUUUUUGAAUAAAAAUUCGAUUUUAUAAGUUGUCAUUAAUAUACAUAUUUUGGAUUCCAUUACAUUUUACAAGUUUUUCUACUUAUUAAAUUAAUAUCUACCAUUGGAUAUCUUUUUUAAAUUUUUUGUACGCUAUUGAAUGUAAAUAAGAGAUGAAGGGAGAGUGAGAUUCCUUUGUCUAUAAUACCGUAUACUCUAUUUUUAUCUUGCUUCAUCUAAGGGAGAUGACAAAAAUGUUACGUAUUCCAAGUACGAUGAUACAAAAACAGCCAGUUUACAAGAAAGAAAAAAGCGAGGAGACGUUGAUUCUUGUUUCGAUCCAUCUCCCAUUUUAUUUCUUUUUGUAACGAUGGGAGCGGCAACUUUCUAGAUGAUCGACGGCAACCUCGAGGGCCUUCGAUUGCACCUCGGAAGAUCAUUGAUCUUGGCCAAGAAUCUUGCCGACCUCUUAAUCACCACCAUCGUUAAUCCGAUUUUCGAUGUAUUAAAAAAAAGUGCUAAUGGCAUUUCUUUUUUUUUUUUUUCUAUCUUUUUAUCUUAUUUUUAUUCCCAAUUCCAAAAUCUUUUUAUUACUGGAUUCUCUUUGAGGAUUUUAUGACAAAUGCGCAUCAUUCGCAUUGAAAUAAAAUUGGAACGUUGUGAAAAAUUUUAAGUAUUAAUAUAAAAUUAAUCAAUUCCUUUUUGAUCGAAAUUUCUAAUGCAUUUUUCAUCAAAUAAUUCAUUUGUAAUAGUUUCAGUUUCACGUGUUCGUUCGAUGGAAAUAAAACUGAUCAAAAACGAGCUUCGACUAACAUUGCUCCCGAUCGGUAUUAUCAUGUCGAACAGUAUCGACAGAGAUACACAUUGCAUCGUGUUUUACGUUUCUGUCUUAUAAUGUCUUCAUCACGAUUCAAUGUUACAUUAGCUGAUAGCUAGUAGCUAAUAACUUACUACUUAUAACCCGAUUGCUAGAGAGACUCGUUUUGUAAAUAGAAACUUUUUACAACUGUUCAUGGUAAUCGUUUUAGAAUAGAAGGAGAUCAUUUAAAUACAGGUUAAGGGUCUCUGUUGAAUCGAUUGAUCGAGACUAAUUAACGAGUUUAAUUUAAGAGUUAGUGCAAUUAAUUAGGAAAUACAUAUAAGUUGUGAAUAGAAAUUACGUAUUAUGCAUUAUGUUUAUACAAAUUUUAUCAAUGAGCUAAUCUGUUGUAAAUUUGAUUUUUUUUUGAAGUAGAUAUUUAUCCUUUUCGUAUUAUAUAAAUGGAAAAUUAGAUAAAUGUAAAUAUUUUACAUUUAUUAAGAAAAUAAUUAUAUAAAUAAUUUUAAUGUUUUCAUUUAAUUAUAUUCAUCCAUUAUCAUUCCAUUAUGUUGUAAAAUUAUAAAUAUAAAUUAUAAAUAUUAAUAAAAUUUUUUCAAAGAUAAUGAAAAAUAUAAAA